rnacentral:miRNA from 1 species
UGGCCCUCCUGUUGCUGCUGGA